rnacentral:rRNA from 1 species
GAACCAACCGGGAUUGCCUUAGUAACGGCGAGUGAAGCGGCAAAAGCUCAAAUUUGAAAUCUGGUACCUUCGGUGCCCGAGUUGUAAUUUGGAGAGGGCAACUUUGGGGCCGUUCCUUGUCUAUGUUCCUUGGAACAGGACGUCAUAGAGGGUGAGAAUCCCGUGUGGCGAGGAGUGCGGUUCUUUGUAAAGUGCCUUCGAAGAGUCGAGUUGUUUGGGAAUGCAGCUCUAAGUGGGUGGUAAAUUCCAUCUAAAGCUAAAUAUUGGCGAGAGACCGAUAGCGAACAAGUACAGUGAUGGAAAGAUGAAAAGAACUUUGAAAAGAGAGUGAAAAAGUACGUGAAAUUGUUGAAAGGGAAGGGCAUUUGAUCAGACAUGGUGUUUUGUGCCCUCUGCUCCUUGUGGGUAGGGGAAUCUCGCAUUUCACUGGGCCAGCAUCAGUUUUGGUGGCAGGAUAAAUCCAUAGGAAUGUAGCUUGCCUCGGUAAGUAUUAUAGCCUGUGGGAAUACUGCCAGCUGGGACUGAGGACUGCGACGUAAGUCAAGGAUGCUGGCAUAAUGGUUAUAUGCCGCCCGUCUUG